GACGAACGCUGGCGGCGUGCUUAACACAUGCAAGUCGAACGAUGAAGCCGGAGCUUGCUCUGGUGAAUUAGUGGCGAACGGGUGAGUAACACGUGAGUAACCUGCCCUUGACUCAGGGAUAACUGCUAGAAAUGGUAGCUAAUACCGGAUACGACCCUCGGAGGCAUCAUCAGGGGGUGGAAAGAAUUCCGGUCAAGGAUGGGCUCGCGGCCUAUCAGCUAGUUGGUGAGGUAAUGGCUCACCAAGGCGACGACGGGUAGCCGGCAUGGGAGGGUGACCGGCCAGACUGGGACUGAGACACGGCCCAGACUCCUACGGGAGGCAGCAGUGGGGAAUAUUGCACAAUGGGCGCAAGCCUGAUGCAGCGACGCCGCGUGAGGGAUGACGGCCUUCGGGUUGUAAACCUCUUUUAGUAGGGAAGAAGCGAAAGUGACGGUACCUGCAGAAAAAGCACCGGCUAACUACGUGCCAGCCGCCGCGGUAA
rnacentral:rRNA from 1 species